AUUUAGAGGGACAUUAGGGGGAGAGGAACGAAACAGAUAGAGAAAACAAAACAGAGGAAAGGGGGAGACGGACAGAGAGUCCAAAAAACAGAGAAAAAAACCAGUCACCUUCCUCCAUUGCUCUCGUUAUUCUCCCACCAUUAAAGCACCACCACUAUUCAACCAUGUUUGAACCAUAACUUAACAAAAGCUCCUCCCGUGAAAUUUUCUUUACUUCAACACCACCCUUUCUGUCUUUAAAGCUCCACCAUCAUCGUCCUUUAUCAUCUUCUUUGCCAAAAGCUCUCAAUAAAUUACAAAUCGAAAAUGGAUUAAACAUUAAGGAUAAGUUUCGGGCUAGAUCUAAACUCCGAUCGAAGUUGCCGUCAGGGGGUGGGUAUUGUUCGAGUGUUAUGGUCUGAUGUUCCAAUCCAGAUUUGAAACACAACCGAUGUGCUAUUGUUGGAUUGAACAAAUUUGCUGCUUGCAAGGAGAUCUUUCAUCAAUUCAAUUUUAAUUACUGUUUGGAUUCCACUUGAGGGCCGCUGCAUCUUCAAUGGAUGCAGGUGAUUCGUCAGCAGGUGGUUUUGACCCUCGUUAGCAGUUACUCUCUAUUCAGCAGAUUUUGGUGAGCCCUACUCUGUUCCGGGCUUCAUGUCAUUUGACGUUGUACGUUACAUUUUGAGGAAGUGAGGCAGGUACAUCUGGUGUCCGUUUAGGCAUUCCCCCACAUUACCUGGAGACCUAGUGGUGAGUUGCUUCCCUAUGCUCCGUUCAGCAGCACCCACAGUCUCCUUCCUGUUGCUUUUUAUAUUUCUUUCUAUUUCAUUUAAGACAGUAGUUGUAGUGAUUUGUAUAUUCUUCUAGAUUGCCCAUGCACUUAUAACACCAGGUUUUGGAAAUUUCUAGUAGAUAUUUAUGGGUUUUGCCUAUUAGUA